UUAGUUACAUUUGAAGUAUCAAAAUUACUAAGGUC
rnacentral:sRNA from 1 species